ensembl:lncRNA
AUUACACUGAAAUGAAUCUUCAAGUGGUGUUUUUUUUUUUUUUUUUUUAGUUUCUGUGCCCCUGCUUCAGUGUACCACUUUUCUAACUCCUGGAAGAGAUUGAAGCAGAGAUUGACUUGAAAGGCCUUGAGACUCCUCAAAAACAGCGUCCAGAGAACAAAACCUGUGUGGCUUUUCUACUCAACUUCCUUUCUUCUCCAUUAUGAAAGCCUUUCACAUGUAAAUAGUAUACCCCACGAAGAACUGCUGCCAAAAGGAAAUGUUUGUAGCAGUGGCAUUCCAUAUGGCAAGAAAGGUGAAGCAGUUACAGUGUUUAAUCAGUGCUAGAAAUUAGGCUAUUCAUGUUGCAGUUAGAGGCAUUAUCGAAAAGAAUUUUGCAGAAAUGCUGAUUAUAUAAUUGAACUGUAGAAGGAGUUAAUGUUUUGUUUUGUUUUGUUUUUAUCUCUGACUGUUUCCUGAUGAGAAACAGUGGUUUUAAAUGUAUUUUGAUCUAGAGUGUGGCAGGUAGUUUCUAGGUAGCUUUGUCUGUCUCACACAUUGAGUGACAGCCAGAAAGGUGUCGCACAUAGACCUAAAUGGGGCUAUCUUUUUGUAAGACAAAGUAUGUUCUUAAAUAAUAAAUGAUCCUGGCAAGUUGUUUAUUACCA